ACGGGUGAGUAACGCGUGGGAAUCUACCCAACUCUACGGAAUAACUCAGGGAAACUUGUGCUAAUACCGUAUACGCCCUUCGGGGGAAAGAUUUAUCGGAGUUGGAUGAGCCCGCGUUGGAUUAGCUAGUUGGUGGGGUAAAGGCCUACCAAGGCGACGAUCCAUAGCUGGUCUGAGAGGAUGAUCAGCCACAUUGGGACUGAGACACGGCCCAAACUCCUACGGGAGGCAGCAGUGGGGAAUAUUGGACAAUGGGCGCGAGCCUGAUCCAGCCAUGCCGCGUGUGUGAUGAAGGCCUUAGGGUUGUAAAGCACUUUCACCGGAGAAGAUAAUGACGGUAUCCGGAGAAGAAGCCCCGGCUAACUUCGUGCCAGCAGCCGCGGUAAUACGAAGGGGGCUAGCGUUGUUCGGAAUUACUGGGCGUAAAGCGCACGUAGGCGGAUCGAUCAGUCAGGGGUGAAAUCCCAGAGCUCAACUCUGGAACUGCCUUUGAUACUGUCGGUCUAGAGUAUGGAAGAGGUGAGUGGAAUUCCGAGUGUAGAGGUGAAAUUCGUAGA
rnacentral:rRNA from 1 species